UCUGGGCCUGCCGUUCGGCCUGCCCCCGCUCGCCGUGCCCGCGCCGUCCGGCCUGGAGCGCGGUGUCGUCC
rnacentral:tRNA from 1 species